UGUAAUGAUUCUUGUGCGUUUAUAUGUGUAUAUGCUCAAUCAUGUUACUGGUUUUUUGAGGAUAAUUUGCUUUUAUCAAAGUUCAGAUAAGUGCAGAUAGCUUAUAGAGUAAAUAUUUGUGUGUAAGAACGUAUGAAUGGGAAUUGUAGUUUUGGUACCGUCCAUCUAGCCAGUCAAGAAAGAUGUCUAUAGGAAUUGUGGUUGAUUCAUCUGCUAAGAUGAAGAACACAAAUAGCAAGGGAGUUUUUAAUGUUAUGUAUAUUAUAUACUCCGUAUUAUCUUAUUAGCUUUAGCUACAGUGGGUUAACAUUAACAUACCUUAUCUAAUGAGUCUUUAUAUAAAAAUUUACGGUUAUUACAAUAUCACCCACUUAAAAUGAUUUCAUCCUCGAAAUCUACUAAAUUGUAAGAUGUAAAUUAAGUACAGUUAUCGUUACUACUAUGGUAUGCAAAUUGUUGUUAUUAUUAUUAUUAUUUGUAUCUCUCAUGACUAAUACGUUGGUGUCGUAAGCAUAAAAAGAAAUGAGUGGAACGGAUAGAAAUCUCCAAGGUGAGUGGAGUUGAGUAACAAAAUUGCAGUUGUCUAAGCGACAGAUUCGAACCUUCAAAAUGGUAAGGUGGAGCUAAAUGGAAGUCUAUGUCUGUAUCUGUAAGAUCUCUUCAUGAAAUCGAGUUAAUUCAGUUCCAUGCUUUAUUGAAGGCACUUGUUUGAAAUUGUUGUUGUGUGUUUGUUUGUGAGUAGGAGAAAGCUCCUUAUGUUGCUAAGGCUGCCACUAAGAAACAAGAAUUGUUGAUUUUGUCAUUGCUCUGUUCCGAGUAGACUUCACUGGAAGAGGAGAACUUGCAGAGCGCCAGUGAUAGCUGAUCCCGGUGGUGGGGUAUUCAUAUCAGAUUAAAAAAAAAACAGCAGGAGGGCAUGUUCUUGCUCAUGCAGCAACUGUGAGAUUGAUGUUUAGGAAGGGCAAGGGGGAAUAGUGUGUCUGCAAAGUGUUUGAUGCACCGAAUCUGCCCGAGUCAUAAAAGUAUACAUAUACAGUAAUAAAAUUAUAUUCAUUACUUUAAAAUAAGCAGAUUAGUAUCUGGUUAUUUCUUCAAAGCAUGUAAGAACUCUAAUACAAGGUGAUAUUGGCAUUGCUUUUUUCAUCUCAUUCGAAUGAUUUUUUUCGUCACUCAUGUUUUGUAAUUUAGUAGUUUACUGUUGGUUGCAGCCAAUUCAAAUGCCGUGAAGCUCAGUUGUGAACUUCUGCGAUUAUUUGUCACAGAAGCUGUCCAACGUGCUGCUACUAUUGCUGAAGGGGGAGACAAGAUCG